rnacentral:rRNA from 1 species
AAGCUCCAGCUUGCUGGRGUGGAUGAGUGGCGAACGGGUGAGUAACACGUGAGUAACCUUCCCUUGACUCUGGGAUAAGCCCGGGAAACUGGGUCUAAUACCGGAUAUGACCUCCUGUCGCAUGGUGGGGGGUGGAAAGAUUUAUCGGUCUUGGAUGGACUCGCGGCCUAUCAGCUUGUUGGUGAGGUAAUGGCUCACCAAGGCGACGACGGGUAGCCGGCCUGAGAGGGUGACCGGCCACACUGGGACUGAGACACGGCCCAGACUCCUACGGGAGGCAGCAGUGGGGAAUAUUGCACAAUGGGCGCAAGCCUGAUGCAGCGACGCCGCGUGAGGGAUGACGGCCUUCGGGUUGUAAACCUCUUUCAGUAGGGAAGAAGCCUUCGGGUGACGGUACCUGCAGAAGAAGCGCCGGCUAACUACGUGCCAGCAGCCGCGGUAAUACGUAGGGCGCGAGCGUUAUCCGGAAUUAUUGGGCGUAAAGAGCUCGUAGGCGGUUUGUCGCGUCUGCCGUGAAAGUCCGGGGCUUAACCCCGGAUCUGCGGUGGGUACGGGCAGACUAGAGUGCAGUAGGGGAGACCGGAAUUCCUGGUGUAGCGGUGAAAUGCGCAGAUAUCAGGAGGAACACCGAUGGCGAAGGCAGGUCUCUGGGCUGUUACUGACGCUGAGGAGCGAAAGCAUGGGGAGCGAACAGGAUUAGAUACCCUGGUAGUCCAUGCCGUAAACGUUGGGCACUAGGUGUGGGGGACAUUCCACGUUUUCCGCGCCGCAGCUAACGCAUUAAGUGCCCCGCCUGGGGAGUACGGCCGCAAGGCUAAAACUCAAAGGAAUUGACGGGGGCCCGCACAAGCGGCGGAGCAUGCGGAUUAAUUCGAUGCAACGCGAAGAACCUUACCAAGGCUUGACAUGUUCUCGAUCGCCACAGAGAUGUGGUUUCCCCUUUGGGGCGGGUUCACAGGUGGUGCAUGGUUGUCGUCAGCUCGUGUCGUGAGAUGUUGGGUUAAGUCCCGCAACGAGCGCAACCCUYGUUYCAUGUYRCCAGCGGGUUAUGCSGGGKAMUCAUGGGAGACUGCCGGGGUCWACUMGGARGAAGGUGGGGACGACGUCWAAUCAUCAUSCCCCUUAUGUSUUGGKCUUCMMGCAUGCUACAAUGGCCGGUACAAUGGGUURYGAUACUGKGAGGUGGAGMUAAUCCCAAAAAGCYGGUMUCAGUUMGGAUUGKGGUCUGCWACUCSMCCCCAUGWAGUMGGAGUCGSUAGUAAUMGCAGAUCAGCAACGCUGCGGUGAAUACGUUCCCSGKCCUUGUMCACACCGCCCGUCAAGUCACGAAAGUCGGUAACACCMGAAGCCG